AAUUAACCGCGGCUAAAUAAACGUGCUGGGGCAGAGCGAGAGGGGAGCGCAAAGCCCCUGCCCAGCGCCAGGGGCGGAUUUACAGCGAAGGGAGCCGGAGGAGGAGCCGCUGCCGCCGGGCCGGAGCUGGUGAAACAGAAGAUAAAGCGACAACUGACGGAGCAGCAAAGGUCUGAGGCAGUGACUGCAAAAAGGGGAGGAAAAUACACCAAACAACGAGGAGAAAACACGCACAACUUUAAGUCAAGCUUGGAUGCCACCAGUUUCUGGGAACAAUUUAUUAGAGCUCCUGUGGACCAUGAGAAAUGUAUAGAACUUACAGAAAGGAAUAUGCUAAUUUACCCUCUAAAUAAAGGAGCAAUCUCUUCAAUGCAAACCAGGUGUUUUUCUGGAAACCAAUAAACUUCAGUCUCGUUCCUGUGAUUUUGGCUGGGAGAUUGUUUUGUGUUUCUACUCAGAACUGUUGAUUGUAAUUUACAUUGUACCAGUAGUAGAGGUGAAGAUCAGGACAGUAAUUUUUAACACUAUUUCACUCUAAAUGAGUCGUACUGUGUUUACUGUGCAGAGGAUUGCUCUUAAGAGAAAAAGAAGGAAAAAAUUUAAAACCCAUUUUUGCAAUGACGCUGAAUUUAAAAACACGAUCAACCCAGAUGAUGUAAUUGCAAAGUGCGCUGGCACUCUCAGGUAAAAAGUUUUGAGCCUUUAAGACAUGUUAUUACAACCCAGAUCCUGCAAUAUUUGUUCUUCUAACGUCUCUGUAAAGAGAAGAUUCUUGGUUAGAUGGCUCUCCAGCUGCUGAAAGGCAAGAACCAUACGCUGGGUUGCAGUGGAGCAUGUGGGGAAAGGAAUAAAGGGGCAAAAAAAUAAUGAAGAAAUAGAGCAAAUCUUUAUCUGCGUAAUGAAAGCAACCCUAAUUCAUUUCUCUGUUCAGUUGCUAAAGGAAAAACAAAACAAACCUCCAAGCAAACAAAACUUCAAAUAAAAACAAAAGGAACUAUUUACAAAUUAAAAAUAAUAAAGCUGUUGUGAUUGUUGUGUGGCUUAGUUAUCAGAAAAACGUUUUCCCCCUAAAGCUUUUUGUCACAUUCUAAUGUGACACUUCCCACCUGCUCUGACUUCUGCUGGAAGAGCCUGGCAGCAGCUUUAAUUACCAGAUCUAUUCUGGAACAGGGCUGAAGACGGGAAGCUGGAGGAAAACCAGCACUGGAGUGCAACAUUCGUAUCCGUAGGCAGUUUCUGCAGCCCGAGAGGGGCUUGGAGCCAGAGGAUCCACGGUGCAGGAGAGUUUCCUGUUACAUUCUACUUCCUUGCCUCUCUACACCCCUUCAGAUCUUGAUCUUACUGACCGCAAAACCCAGCUUUGAAAAACUGAACAUAACAUGCUUACAUCAAAACUCUACAUAAAAUUGUCUCUUCCUGCAUAACUUGCAUAAACACAACCUUUCUUGAAUCACAAAAAUAUUUGGAUUCAGUUCUAGUAGGAAAAGGUCAUCUCUGAAGGGUUGCUGUUUAUCAGUAAGUUUAUCUCAGAAUACAACUGACAGAAAAUCCACUCUCAUUCAUUUUCCCCUGCUAAAAUUAAGAGUUAAAGAGUUAAAUGUAUUUUAGGCAAAUUAACAUCUUUACUUGUUCUCUAAUGAACAUGUAAAUUUUCUUCAGUGACACACUGCUCCAAACCAAUCCAUGACCAUGCACAUUCCCAGAAACACCUCCGAUAAUCGUAAUUUAUCCAACAAACUAAGGAUCUUCAACAGGUCAGAGCAAGUAAUUCCCCAAGAAUAAACCAAGAUGUAAAGCUUUAAUUCAGAAAACAGAGACAACAAUAAUCAACUGGGAAACCUUUUAUUCAGGUAACAAGGUAAAAGGAAAACCUAUUCUACCAAGCAGAUUUUUUUGCAGCAGAAGUCAAACAGCCAGUGGGAAAAGUAGUAGAAUUAAGGGAAGUAGUACCAAAUAUCAGUCUUCUCCAAACGUGUUUUCAAUUUGUGUAAGUAACUGCCAAACUAGCAGCUAGAAAACCCUCGGGAAUCUGCCAAUGCCCAGUGCAAAGCAGUUUUAGUUAGUACAAGCCAUUCCUGAACACUCACAGUGCAUGUCAGAUAUCAUGCAUCUGUCUCACCUACCUGGCAGGCUUGCACAGAAGCACCACUACCAGCCUACAUCAAAAGAGCACAGGUUCAGUAUUAAAGCCACAGUCUGUGGAACUAUCACCAAGGUCUUCUGACAGGGUGCAGUGCUGCUCCAUGAGUUACAUGUUGCCUUCUGCCAGUUUCAUGUCUCUUACCCCAACAGCCACGGCGUGCACUCAGCGGGGACUGCCAGGUGAGGGUUUAGGAAAGGAAGAUGCCCUUGCUAUCAAAGCUAUCCAGAGAAGUACUGAGCCCAGAGGUGUCUACUACACCUUCCCCUUGCUGGCAUGGCUGAGGCCCUGGGAGACCUUUACACAGAACAUUUUAGAGUGAACAGUGCAGCACUGAGUCUGCAUUGGAACUCUCACGAGCACAGGUGUACAAACAGUGCAGCCUCGACACUGGGCACACUUAUAAUCCCCAGGGACACAAAUGCUGUGGUUCACUGAUCCUUGUGCCAGAAUAAUUUGACAUAUUGUGGAUAAACACACUGGUAUCAGAAAGUGCAAGCAGUAGUAUCCCCUUAGAAUAAUAUUAACUGAUACGCAAUCCUGUGGAGAAGCAGAAGGUUACAGCCUGUGAGCCAUCCCAGGAGUCUCCCCGGGCCUCCUUCCCCUUUUAAGUUAUAUUUUAUAGUUUUCUUUGUGGGUGUGGAAAACACAAAGUGCCAGCUGAUGUUGUUUCAUGAUUAGGUGGAUUUUGACUGACUCUAGUCAUACACAAGAAGCAUGUGCAGGUUUUAUUUCAUUAGAGAAUACACCUCCACAAGGUGUGUACAUCAAAAGUGUCUUACUGGGAGAGUUCUCUAAAAAUGCACACUACUGGACAAAAGCAUAAUCCAAAAAAGGAAGAGAACUAGUUCUGGUGGAAGCAGAAGUGCUGUGGGUAAAAGCCCACUGACCAGCAGAAAGCACAGAACAGCCUACAAGCACUCCAGGAGGCACCCACAGUUUGCAUCCAAU